rnacentral:lncRNA from 12 species
UGGUGGUCUGGCGAAGAUCUAGGUGGGGAGCCAUGGCUGAGGAAGGAGACAAAGCACCUGUGCUGAGACAGUGGCUUAGCAGCCUAUGAGCAAUUUCUGCAGAUGUUCCAAGGUAUUACUAACAAAGCUGAGGAAACAACAAGUCUUAGCCCAUGAAAACUAAUAUGUUUGGUUCGGAA